GCACUGUAAGAAAAGUAUUUCCAGUUGUAAGAUAUGUCAUCACCCUCUCUGCUCUGAGGGACUGGGAGGAGCAGCGGAUCGGGUUGCAGAGAAUCAAAAGGUAUAUAAAGAGACAUUUGCCAUUACUUUGGCGCUGACUUCUUGAAUUCUGAAUUCAUUUAGACAACCAUUUGACUUCGGGUAAAUUGACAACUGACUCAAAUUACUUAAAGAUUCUAACUUGUUGGAUCUGAGAAGUGACUUUCCAAUAUCCCGUUUACCUAUUGGAACAGCUGUUUUGUCGCAUAUUGACCAGGUGCGUGUGUCUCAGAACCUCGGCCUCGUUGCGUGCCACGGACGCUGCGGUAGUUCAACGGGACUGAGAGUCACUCUAGUCCUUCAGUUGAUCUCUUGUUUAUACCUAUGGUUAUCUGAAUUGACCCUGUAAGCAUAUUGACCAGGUGCGUGUGUCUCAGAACCUCGGCCUUGUUGCGUGUUACAGACUCUUUGAUAUUCCAUUGGGGCAAGGGAUCACCAACGGGUCCUCUCAUCCAGUCCAAACUUGAAUCUCUAAAUUUAGUAAACCACCGACUUCAAUCAACCUCUCAGCCAGUAGAGGGGAGUCGCUUCUAACUAAAUUCUAAAAGAACUCUGAUUGAAACUCUGCUCCUGAUCUUGUGGGUCUCCUCGUCAUCUCUCAAAGACAAUGAUGCGCAAGAAGAAACCCUCUGUGGAACAAAGCGAAAGUGCUGCUCCACCAGAUAUGUCAAAACCCAAAAAGAGUAAGACCACUGGGCAUCAUCCAAGGCCACUACUCAGGAGGACACCAAUAAUGACUCUGUCUUUGGUCAAUUUCUGUGUGCGGGCUGGUGUCAUCUUGAGAAAAGGAAGUAUAUCCAAGGAAAUUGCUGUAGAACAAAUGGUUUUCCAAAAGAGGCUCCAGCAACGACUGAAAAAGAGUCCCAGAUACCUCGGGGCUGCCCUCUGAUCCUGACUGACAUGGAUGUGGUGGAGAAGUCAGAGAGCCUGUCCAAGCCAGGUGGAGAGUUCCUUUCUGGCCUGCUCUUCCACACCAUCAACUGGUUUAGAGAGAUUGUGAAUGCAUUCUGCAGUCAGAAAGACCCUGAGAUGAAAAUGAAGGUGGUGACUCGUCUUCAGAACAUCACCUACCUCCAGACUCUAUUGGACAGGACUUUGGCAGAAAUCCCUGGCUAUGCUCCUCCUCUAGCCAACUUUGAUGGGGAGAGUACAGAGGGAGCUCCCGUGUCUAGCUCCACUGCUAUUCCAAAGAAGGGAAAGAAAAUAUAUAUUUUUAAAACUUUUUCCUGAGCUGAUAUUCAACACUUAUUGUGGUGCCACAAUCUGCCACAAUC